rnacentral:rRNA from 1 species
UUUCGACCUGAGGUCAGGCAAGAACACCCGCUGAACUUAAGCAUAUCAAUAAGCGGAGGAAAAGAAACUAACUAGGAUUCCCUUAGUAGCGGCGAGCGAACCGGGAAAAGCCCAACUUGUAAAUCAUUAGCCUUUGGCUAAUUGAAUUGUAGUCUCAAGGUGUGUUCUCUGUAGCAAGCUGUGCCCAAUUUUCCUUGGAAAAGGGAGUCAGAGAGGGUGAGAACCCCGUCGGCGCAUGUUUCAGCUACUCCACGAGACACUCUCUCAGAGUCGGGUUGCUUGGGAAUGCAGCCCUAAGUAGGUGGUAAAUCCCAUCUAAGGCUAAAUACUGACGGGAGACCGAUAGCGAACAAGUACCGUGAGGGAAAGAUGAAAAGAACUUUGAAAAGAGAGUCAAAAGUGCUUGAAAUUGUUGAGGGGGAAGGAAUUGGAAGCCGUAGGUGCUCUCUAGCUUAAGUGGGCAAUUCUGCCUUCUGUACGCUCUGAGAGCCGGUCAG